rnacentral:tRNA from 2 species
GCCUCGGUGCCGCAGUUGGCAGCGCGUCAGACUUAUAAUCUGAUGGCCGUGAGUUCGAACCUCAUCUAGGGUA